rnacentral:lncRNA from 1 species
AUGGCCUAUCCUCAAAUCAAACCUGCAAAACAAGAAUCAUCCUGCUCUGAUCUCUUUUUCCAUAUUUUGACUCCCCUUCAAAUCCUGCCUGCACAUUUCAUUCUACAAAACCUUCAAGGAGAGUCAUGUUCUCACAUGGAAUUCAGCCAGGUUUUUGGGAUUGUUUCUGGUAAGAAUAUGAUGAAAGGAGCAAGAAGUUUCACUUCUCAGGAAUCUCCUUGGACUGAGAUGUUUGGUAGCUCAACACUAUUUCCCAACAAAGUAGCUAACCAAGGCUAUGGUUAUGACUUCAGUUAUCGUAUCAGAGGCCUGCUCAUUAGAAAUAAAAGAUGAAUGAACACCAUUCAAGAACUGUUCAUUUAUGCCCUUAAGUGUUUCCUUCAUGCUGUGUGACUUUUCUUAAAAGAAUUGAAUAGGAUAAGUGUUUCACAGAAGCAGAGACUUCUGAGUUUCAUGUAAGUUCACAGGUACUUUUAAGUGUCUGGGCUAGAUAUUUGCUGGUUUAUUAGAUGCCUUCUUGCCAUAAGGAUGUGUGCACUGAGUGAAUGACCUCUGUGGCUAGUGUCAACUGGAUUCUCUUGCAUUCUAUUUUCCUGUUGGAUUUGACAAAUGGAAGGUACCAGCAGAAGAUUGAGGUUGGGUGGUAGAAGUAACAUCAAAGAGAUGUCAAAAUAUUUGUUUCCCCAGCAUCCUACCUACCAGGCCACAGGAGGUUGCAAUGGCUAUAUUCUUCAUCGAAGGCCCUAGUUCCUGUUUUGUGGCCCUUCCCACAGAGGAAGGGACUCUGCUCUCAGAGUUUUGGCAAUCACUCACUCCCCUUAUAUCUUCAACUUUACGGUGGUAAUGGUUCCUGUUGUUCCUAGUCACAGGAUGCUCCACUGUCUUCUUUUAGCUUCCCUUCACCAUACCAUGCUUUACAAAAAAAUUCAUUCAUUAAGCUGUUUUCUAUAUCCCUUUUUAAGUGUGCCAUCUGUUUCCUGCCAUGUCCGGAUGAUACAGUCAUCUAGUCUGACGACUUGUUGAAUGCCUAAAUUCCUAUUGUAACACCUCUUCUAAAUGGUCAAAUUGACCGUAUGUUUAAAUAUUAUAAUAGAUAACUUAUUAUGUCAUAAGACAACGUAUUCUCUCUUUAACCAAUCUCUAACUAAAUUUAAUUUUUUUAUUUGUGGCAAGAUAGCAGUGACUCUUCGCUCAACUGUAGAGAAAACAUUUUCAUGUUUCUGCAUGGUUGGAUUUCUCUGAACAUAAAAACCUGGCAUCUCAGCUAAAGAACAAGAUUUUGAAUUUAACAGACUAUUGAAUAAAUAGAAACCUCUGGAAAU